rnacentral:rRNA from 1 species
GACGAACGCUGGCGGCGUGCUUAACACAUGCAAGUCGAACGGAAAGGCCCUGCUUUUGUGGGGUGCUCGAGUGGCGAACGGGUGAGUAACACGUGAGUAACCUGCCCUUGACUUUGGGAUAACUUCAGGAAACUGGGGCUAAUACCGGAUAGGAGCUCCUGCUGCAUGGUGGUGGUUGGAAAGUUUCGGCGGUUGGGGAUGGACUCGCGGCUUAUCAGCUUGUUGGUGGGGUAGUGGCUUACCAAGGCUUUGACGGGUAGCCGGCCUGGGAGGGUGACCGGGCACAUGGGGACUGAGAUACGGACCAGACGCCUACGGGAGGCAGCAGUGGGGAAUAUUGCACAAUGGGCGGAAGCCUGAUGCAGCAACGCCGCGUGCGGGAUGACGGCCUUCGGGUUGUAAACCGCUUUCGCCUGUGACGAAGCGUGAGUGACGGUAAUGGGUAAAGAAGCAACGGCUAACUACGUG